GCUGGUGUGGCUCAGAGGUAGAGCACUUCCUUGGUAAGGAAGGGGUCACGGGUUCAAUUCCCGUCACUAGCU
rnacentral:tRNA from 1 species